AUUAGACUCUUUUGGUCAGUUCAUUUAGCUAUCCCUUAGUUAAGAGAGAAAAUGUGUUCAAAACAAUCACUUUGGGAUAUUUUUACCCAAUGAAGUCUUGUUUUUCUGUAUUGAAAAAAAUACAAAUUAGCAUGCUAUUGAAAAAUCUUACUAAAUUCCUCAAGAAAUGAUAGUAUAAGAAAAAAAAGAAAAAGGAAAAAAUAUUUGAAAGGUUAAAAAGUAAAACAAUCCACUCACAGGACCUUUUGCUUAGUGAAGUUAUUUUCUAACAUUAUCAGGUGUGUGGCACUCAGGAGGCUGAGGUAGGAAGAAAGGAGGACAGGGCCUUCCCUGGCCAUAGAGCAAGAGUAAUGUUACUAUAGAAAGUCUCCUUAAACAAUUUCCACUUUUAGAAGGGAACCUGCUUUUCUGUGUACUUGGACAUGAGAGAGCAGUAGUUGGAAUCAGAACACAGGGGACUAAACAUGCACUGUUUGUGGGAGUUUUAUCAGAUGCUUUAUGCUUUUAUGGUCAAAAUUCUUUGUCACCAAAAUAGGAGCAGCUUCAGUGCUAAGAGUCAUUGCUUUGCAGAUCAUCACCAACAGCAAGGAGCACUGUGAAGACUCUUCUGGAUGCUGAGGAUUAGAUAUAGGACCUGCAUAUGUUGGGCAAGCACCCUACCACUUAACUACAUCCCCAGUCCUAAAGCAACUCUGAGCUCCCUUAGUUUAAAAGAACAAGUCCACACAUACUCCUCCCCGCUUCUUCAUUGCCAAGGCCUGUGCCCUCCCCAGCCUUGAGCAGUCUGAACAGACCUUGUCUGCCACACAGGACCUUAACACCUAGGUGAAUCCUGCUGCUUUGUUUACACUUGCAACUUCCAGUAAGAACUUUGAAGAAGAGACUGCCCGCUGAGCCUGCCUUGCAGCUGAAACAAAGGAUGGGUUCUGUGGGGCUUUCCCUAUAUAUUACAAGAGCUAAACAUUAAACUUUGAGCCUUGAUCAGAAAA